rnacentral:rRNA from 1 species
GACGAACGCUGGCGGCGUGCCUAAUACAUGCAAGUAGAACGCUGAAGGAGGAGCUUGCUUCUCUGGAUGAGUUGCGAACGGGUGAGUAACGCGUAGGUAACCUGCCUGGUAGCGGGGGAUAACUAUUGGAAACGAUAGCUAAUACCGCAUAAUAGUAGAUGUUGCAUGACAUUUGCUUAAAAGGUGCAAUUGCAUCACUACCAGAUGGACCUGCGUUGUAUUAGCUAGUUGGUGAGGUAACGGCUCACCAAGGCAACGAUACAUAGCCGACCUGAGAGGGUGAUCGGCCACACUGGGACUGAGACACGGCCCAGACUCCUACGGGAGGCAGCAGUAGGGAAUCUUCGGCAAUGGACGGAAGUCUGACCGAGCAACGCCGCGUGAGUGAAGAAGGUUUUCGGAUCGUAAAGCUCUGUUGUAAGAGAAGAACGAGUGUGAGAGUAGAAAGUUCACACUGUGACGGUAUCUUACCAGAAAGGGACGGCUAACUACGUG